UACGUAGGGGGCAAGCGUUGUCCGGAAUCAUUGGGCGUAAAGCGCGUGUAGGCGGCCCGGUAAGUCCGCUGUGAAAGUCGGGGGCUCAACCCUCGAAUGCCGGUGGAUACUGUCGGGCUAGAGUGCGGGAGAGGCGAGUGGAAUUCCUGGUGUAGCGGUGAAAUGCGCAGAUAUCAGGAGGAACACCAAUUGCGAAGGCAGCUCGCUGGAACGAAACUGACGCUGAGACGCGAAAGCGUGGGGAGCAAAUAGG
rnacentral:rRNA from 1 species